UCCUUAGUAGCUUAGUGGUAGACCAGUCGGUUGUUAACCGAUUGGUCAUAGGUUCAAAUCCUAUUUGAGGAG